rnacentral:rRNA from 1 species
AGCCGGAGCUUGCUCUGGUGGAUUAGUGGCGAACGGGUGAGUAACACGUGAGUAACCUGCCCCUGACUCUGGGAUAAGCGCUGGAAACGGCGUCUAAUACCGGAUAUGCGCUGUAACCGCAUGGUUUGCAGCGGGAAAGAUUUAUCGGUUGGGGAUGGACUCGCGGCCUAUCAGCUUGUUGGUGAGGUAAUGGCUCACCAAGGCGUCGACGGGUAGCCGGCCUGAGAGGGUGACCGGCCACACUGGGACUGAGACACGGCCCAGACUCCUACGGGAGGCAGCAGUGGGGAAUAUUGCACAAUGGGCGCAAGCCUGAUGCAGCAACGCCGCGUGAGGGAUGACGGCCUUCGGGUUGUAAACCUCUUUUAGCAGGGAAGAAGCCUUCGGGUGACGGUACCUGCAGAAAAAGCGCCGGCUAACUACGUGCCAGCAGCCGCGGUAAUACGUAGGGCGCAAGCGUUAUCCGGAAUUAUUGGGCGUAAAGAGCUCGUAGGCGGUUUGUCACGUCUGCUGUGAAAACUGGAGGCUCAACCUCCAGCCUGCAGUGGGUACGGGCAGACUAGAGUGCGGUAGGGGAGAUUGGAAUUCCUGGUGUAGCGGUGGAAUGCGCAGAUAUCAGGAGGAACACCGAUGGCGAAGGCAGAUCUCUGGGCCGUUACUGACGCUGAGGAGCGAAAGGGUGGGGAGCAAACAGGCUUAGAUACCCUGGUAGUCCACCCCGUAAACGUUGGGAACUAGUUGUGGGGGCUUUUCUACGGUCUCCGUGACGCAGCUAACG